rnacentral:rRNA from 1 species
UACGAAGGGUGCAAACGUUGCUCGGAAUCAUUGGGCGUAAAGCGCACGUAGGCGGCCUCGCAAGUCGGAUGUGAAAUCCCUCGGCUCAACCGAGGACGUGCAUCCGAAACUGCGGGGCUUGAGUACAGAAGAGGAUCGCGGAAUUCCCGGUGUAGAGGUGAAAUUCGUAGAUAUCGGGAGGAACACCAGUGGCGAAGGCGGCGAUCUGGGCUGAUACUGACGCUGAGGUGCGAAAGCGUGGGGAGCAAACAGGAUUAGAAACCCCUGUAGUCC